rnacentral:misc_RNA from 1 species
UAGAACCUCAGUUUGAACUAAUCCCUUGCAACUUCUUUUUUAAUCUUCUCUUGUUUCAAAUAAUAACAACCCAUCAAUUGUCAUUUUAUGAAAUAUAAAGUCAUGGUGUUUGUCAUGAAAGUGAUGGAAUUUUCCCAAAUUCUUUUACACUGGAUCAGCAUAGUAGGAAUUAGCUGCUGUUGGGCUAUGAAAUGUGAGCUAGAUUGUACUAUUUACAGAGGGCCAAUAUUAAUAUUGACUAGUUUUGUUCUACAUGCAGAUCAGUCACCCUACUGAUGUGA